AGUCCGAUGGUGUAGUGGUAACAUCUCCUGUUUAUCUGCGUCUUCAACCUUGGGUCGCGGGAGGUCGCUCGUUCAAUUCGGGCUCAGACCA